rnacentral:lncRNA from 7 species
GAAUUUAAAUUCGAAAAAAGGAAAAAAAACAACAAAAUAGAAAUAAAGAAACAAAAAAAGAAAAGAAAAAAAUUGGCGCCUGGGCCGAUUCCCUCCCCCCCUCUGCCGGCCCAGCCCACUGCACGCACGCGCGUGCUCGUCCGUCGUCUAGCUGUCGGGCCCCACGUGUCAGCCUAAUGUACAGAUUGCACGUUUGUGGGAGUUAGUCACUGACAUGUGGGCCCCAGCCGCGGUCAUCUUCCUCAACAGAACUCCGUAAGAACCGCACGUUGAUCUCGAGCUUGAGUUCGGUGCGCCAGCCGCGAGAAUUCUCCACCCGGGAUAUAAAGCACCGCACCCCCCCGCCCCCCUCGGCCCUCCUAUCGUGAACCAGAAACACCAAUGGUGGCUGCCUUGUCGUCACCAAUCCCAAAGAGAUGGGGGCAGUGGGUCGCCGCUGUCCAGCUAGUGCUUCGCCGUUGCCAAGAGCUUGGUGUGUGGUCCCAGGGAACCGCCAGGGCUAGUAGAUGUUGGGUGUGGCAUUGGCGGGCGCGGUCGGCCGACCAGAACAGUGGAAUUUCUCGUCGGAGUAACGGAUCCGCCGCGUUGCCGCUAUGCUACGUGACCUGGGGCCUCAGCGCCAUCGUACCUAGGCUGUGUAACGUUGAUAAAUUAAGAAGUAGGGCUCUUGGGUGCCGGCUCGGCCAACCCCGUUGGGCCCGCCACCGUGGGGAAAUAGGACAUCGCCGCUCUCCGGUUGCUGGAUGCGGAGGUGGGGGGAUGGCUCCCGG